AUCAAUAAGCGGAGGAAAAGAAAAUAACAAUGAUUUCCCCAGUAACGGCGAGUGAAGAGGAAAGAGCUCAAAGUUGGAACCUGUUUGGCUUAGCUAAACCGGAUUGUAAACUGUAGAAACGUUUUCCUGGCACGCCAGAUAAAUAAGUCCUUUGGAACAGGGCAUCAUAGAGGGUGAGAAUCCCGUCUUUGGUCUGAGCUGUUGUCUAUUGCGAUACGUUUUCAAAGAGUCAGGUUGUUUGGGAAUGCAGCCUAAAUUGGGUGGUAAAUCUCACCUAAAGCUAAAUAUUUGCGAGAGACCGAUAGCGAACAAGUACCGUGAGGGAAAGAUGAAAAGAACUUUGAAAAGAGAGUUAAACAGUAUGUGAAAUUGUUAAAAGGGAACCGUUUGGAGCCAGACUGGCUUGAUCGUAAUCAAUCUAGGUUUCGACCUGGAUGCACUUGCGGUCUAUGCCUGCCAACGACAGUUCUUUCUGAAGGAUAAAACUAGGAGGAAUGUGGCCCCUCGGGGUGUUAUAGCCUUCUAGAUAAUACUUUGGAUGGGACUGAGGAACGCAGUGAAUGCUAUUAUGGCGAGAUUUCUAUUCGCUUUUUUCCGAGAAUGGGUGAAUUUCUGCUUCGGGUGGUGCAUUCGUUCUUUGGAGAAAACUCGUGUAGUUAUUUUUCUAUUCACUUAGGUUGUUGGCUUAAUGACUCUAAAUGAC
rnacentral:rRNA from 1 species